rnacentral:rRNA from 1 species
UAACGGCGAGUGAAGCGGCAAGAGCUCAAAUUUGAAAGCUGGCUCCUUCGGGGUCCGCAUUGUAAUUUGUAGAGGAUGCUUCGGGAGCGGUCCCCAUCUAAGUGCCCUGGAACGGGACGUCAUAGAGGGUGAGAAUCCCGUAUGGGAUGGGGUGUCCGCGCCCGUGUGAAGCUCCUUCGACRAGUCGAGUUGUUUGGGAAUGCAGCUCUAAAUGGGUGGUAAAUUUCAUCUAAAGCUAAAUAUUGGCCGGAGACCGAUAGCGCACAAGUAGAGUGAUCGAAAGAUGAAAAGCACUUUGAAAAGAGAGUUAAAAAGCACGUGAAAUUGUUGAAAGGGAAGCGCUUGCGACCAGACUCGCUCGCGGGGUUCAGCCGGCAUUCGUGCCGGUGUACUUCCCCGCGGGCGGGCCAGCGUCGGUUUGGGCGGUCGGUCAAAGGCCCUCGGAAGGUAACGCCCCUAGGGGCGUCUUAUAGCCGAGGGUGCAAUGCGACCUGCCUAGACCGAGGAACGCGCUUCGGCUCGGACGCUGGAAUAAUGGUCGUAAACGACCCGUCUUGAAACACGGACCAAGGAGUCUAACAUCUACGCGAGUGUUCGGGUGUCAAACCCGUGCGCGAAGUGAAAGCGAACGGAGGUGGGAACCCUCACGGGUGCACCAUCGACCGAUCCUGAAGUCUUCGGAUGGAUUUGAGUAAGAGCGUAGCUGUUGGGACCCGAAAGAUGGUGAACUAUGCCUGAAUAGGGCGAAGCCAGAKGAAACUCUGGUGGAGGCUCGUABCGGUUCUGACGUGCAAWUCGAUCGUCGAAUUUGGGUAUAGGGG